UCCCAAGCAAGUCUGUGAACAAGCCAGUGCUAAUCCCUCCUUUCUGAAAGAUUAUGCAAGAAUUUGAAAGAGCUGUUCCUUUCUCCUUAAUACAGCAAAUCUGGAAGCGCUGACUUCCAUCUAAUGACAGGAACAGCAAUACUGAAAUGACGUACAACAUUCUGCUCUUUUUAACUCAAUAACAUGCUUACGUAGAAUAGAG